rnacentral:rRNA from 1 species
UACGAGGAGCUUGCUCCGAACUAUUUAGUGGCGAACGGGUGAGUAUCACGUGAGCAACCUGCCCCGAAGACUGGGAUAACACCGGGAAACCGGUGCUAAUACCGGAUGUCUUUCAAUGAUCGCAUGAUCGAUGAAAGAAAUGUUUUUUCGCUUUGGGAGGGGCUCGCGGUCCAUCAGCUUGUUGGCGGGGUAACGGCCCACCAAGGCUACGACGGAUAGCUGGUCUGAGAGGACGAUCAGCCACACUGGAACUGAGACACGGUCCAGACUCCUACGGGAGGCAGCAGUGGGGAAUCUUGCGCAAUGGACGAAAGUCUGACGCAGCAACGCCGCGUGAGGGACGAAGGCUUUCUGAG